rnacentral:rRNA from 1 species
UACGUAGGGGGCUAGCGUUGUCCGGAAUUAUUGGGCGUAAAGAGCGUGUAGGCGGUCCGGUAAGUCGGCUGUGAAAGUCCAGGGCUCAACCCUGGGAUGCCGGUCGAUACUGCCGGACUAGAGUUCGGAAGAGGCGAGUGGAAUUCCCGGUGUAGCGGUGAAAUGCGCAGAUAUCGGGAGGAACACCUAUGGCGAAGGCAGCUCGCUGGGACGUUACUGACGCUGAGACGCGAAAGCGUGGGGAGCGAACAGG